ensembl:lncRNA
CGUGAGCUGUUCAGGGAGGAGCAGAGGAGAGGUUGAGGGUCAGCCAAACAAAAGGCCCUUUGGCUCGGGUUCUCCGGGUCAAGGCUUAAGGGCAGGAAGUAGCGGAACAAUAUCCGGCACUUCAGAUUUGAGCAGAAGUGACACUCCAGAGAAUACCGCCUUACACGCUUCGCUGGAGAGAGAGGGAGCAGGCACCGAGGAGAGAAAGGUGAGGUGGAUUUGUUGUGAUCACAUCGGGGUACAGAAAAGAAAAAGCAAGGGGAGAAAGAGUGACAGAGACGGAAGCACGAGACAGCCGGAGAGAAAGCCAAAGAAAAAACGUCUUCCUGACUCACAGACAAAGCAGUGUGGUCUGCAGCAGUGAGAUAACAGAGAGAGAGAAAGAGAGAGGUAGAGGAGAGGAAGGCAAGGCCGAGCAGGUGGACAUGAGCCAACAUGUCGCUUGGGGCACAAACUGUGGCUUCGGAGAGGAGAAGUGAGGAGAGGAGGAAUUUUAAUGACCCAGAAACCAGCCCAGCAGGUCUGGAGGGGUUGAAUGCCACAGAUAGUUCCCUUGUCUUCCUCCUCUACUUCUCCCUCGCACA